GACGAACGCUGGCGGCGUGCUUAACACAUGCAAGUCGAACGGAAAGGCCCUGCUUUUGUGGGGUGCUCGAGUGGCGAACGGGUGAGUAACACGUGAGUAACCUGCCCUUGACUUUGGGAUAACUUCAGGAAACUGGGGCUAAUACCGGAUAGGAGCUCCUGCUGCAUGGUGGGGGUUGGAAAGUUUCGGCGGUUGGGGAUGGACUCGCGGCUUAUCAGCUUGUUGGUGGGGUAGUGGCUUACCAAGGCUUUGACGGGUAGCCGGCCUGAGAGGGUGACCGGCGACAUAGGGACUGCGAUACGGCCCAGACUCAUACGGGAGCCAGCAGUGGGGAAGAUUGCAGAAUGGUCGGAAGCCUGAUGCAGCAACGCCGCGUGCGGGAUGACGGCCUUCGGGUUGUAAACCGCUUUCGCCUGUGACGAAGCGUGAGUGACGGUAAUGGGUAAAGAAGCACCGGCUAACUACGUG
rnacentral:rRNA from 1 species